CAGCCGCGCGGGAACACGGAGGGUGCAAGCGUUAAUCGGAAUUACUGGGCGUAAAGCGUGCGUAGGCGGUUCGUUAAGUCUGUUGUGAAAGCCCCGGGCUCAACCUGGGAAUGGCAAUGGAUACUGGCGAGCUAGAGUGUGUCAGAGGAUGGUGGAAUUCCCGGUGUAGCGGUGAAAUGCGUAGAGAUCGGGAGGAACAUCAGUGGCGAAGGCGGCCAUCUGGGACAACACUGACGCUGAGGCACGAAAGCGUGGGGAGCAAACAGGAUUAGAUACCCCCGUAGUCCCUGUCUCUUAUACA
rnacentral:rRNA from 1 species